UCUUGGCCCGGAUUACAUCAGCCCAAUAAACUAAACUAAAUAAGCCCAAACCCAAACCCAUUAGUCAAACUAGAGUUUCAGAAAAGCUGAAACCCUAGCUUGUCUUCUGCCACCAGCCACACCUGCUCUUUAAUGCCUCUGACGUUGCCUCAACACCGCCCUACCGUCCUCCAUAUUGCACCAUCACCUGCAAGCAGUAACAAGAAAAGACAGUAAGGGAAAAUAGUAGCAGUGUAAAUGGCUAUAUAAGCCGAAAAAAGUCAUGUAACGGGAUUUUUUUUUUCCUUUGAAAGCAAUAGAAGUAACCGAUUUCUCCAAAAAACGCAAAGAUCAAAGCAAGCUUUUGAAGAAAAAGAGAAAACAAAGCAAACACUAUAGGGUAUUGCUUCUUUCAUUAGCAUUUUUGUUUAUUUUGAAAAUACCCAUACACUAAACAGUUAUACACACAUACAUAUAUUUUUUUUUUCCAUUUAAAAAAAAGACAAUAUAUAUUUAUAUAUAAAAAUAUAAAAAAAUAGAAUAAAAAACUUACUUUUCAGGAUUUGCGGUGGCCGGCGACGGCGACGGCGACGGUGGUGGUGUGCGGUGGCCCUUCUGGCCGAGAUUUGGGGUUGCC
rnacentral:lncRNA from 1 species